GAUGAACGCUGGCGGCGUGCCUAAUACAUGCAAGUCGAGCGAAGCGGGGACGGGUGAGGAACAGGUAGAUAACCUCCUAUAAGACUGGAGUAAAUUCGGGAAACCGUAGGUAAACCUGCUACUUGGAGGUGGAUCCUCGGUGCAUUAGCUAGUUGGUAAGGUAACGGCUUACCAAGGCAACGAUGCAUAGCCGACCUGAGAGGUUGAUCGGCCACACUGGAACUGAGACACGGCCCAGACUCCUACGGGAGGCAGCAGUAGGGAAUCUUCGGCAAUGGGCGAAAGCCUGACCGAGCAACGCCGCGUGAGUGAUGAAGGUCUUCGGAUCGUAAAACUCUGUUAUUAGGGAAGCGGUACCUAACCAGAAAGCCACGGCUAACUACGUGCCAGCAGCCGCGGUAAUAC
rnacentral:rRNA from 1 species